rnacentral:rRNA from 1 species
UACGUAGGGGGCUAGCGUUGUCCGGAUUUAUUGGGCGUAAAGAGCGUGUAGGCGGCCAGAUAGGUCUGCUGUGAAAACUCGAGGCUCAACCUCGAGAUGUCGGCGGAAACCAUCUGGCUAGAGUCCGGGAGAGGAGAGUGGAAUUCCUGGUGUAGCGGUGAAAUGCGCAGAUAUCAGGAAGAACACCCGUGGCGAAAGCGGCUCCCUGGAACGGUACUGACGCUGAGACGCGAAAGCGUGGGGAGCGAACAGG